rnacentral:rRNA from 1 species
CUAAGUUUGAUGGCGACCGGCGCACGGGUGAGUAACACGUAUCCAACCUGCCGAUGACUCGGGGAUAGCCUUUCGAAAGAAAGAUUAAUACCCGAUGGCAUAGUUCUUCCGCAUGGUGGAACUAUUAAAGAAUUUCGGUCAUCGAUGGGGAUGCGUUCCAUUAGGUUGUUGGCGGGGUAACGGCCCACCAAGCCUUCGAUGGAUAGGGGUUCUGAGAGGAAGGUCCCCCACAUUGGAACUGAGACACGGUCCAAACUCCUACGGGAGGCAGCAGUGAGGAAUAUUGGUCAAUGGACGAGAGUCUGAACCAGCCAAGUAGCGUGAAGGAUGACUGCCCUAUGGGUUGUAAACUUCUUUUAUACGGGAAUAAAGUGAGGCACGUGUGCCUUUUUGUAUGUACCGUAUGAAUAAGGAUCGGCUAACUCCGUGCCAGCAGCCGCGGUAAUACGGAGGAUCCGAGCGUUAUCCGGAUUUAUUGGGUUUAAAGGGAGCGUAGGCGGACGCUUAAGUCAGUUGUGAAAGUUUGCGGCUCAACCGUAAAAUUGCAGUUGAUACUGGGUGUCUUGAGUACAGUAGAGGCAGGCGGAAUUCGUGGUGUAGCGGUGAAAUGCUUAGAUAUCACGAAGAACUCCGAUUGCGAAGGCAGCUUGCUGGACUGUAACUGACGCUGAUGCUCGAAAGUGUGGGUAUCAAACAGGAUUAGAUACCCUGGUAGUCCACACAGUAAACGAUGAAUACUCGCUGUUUGCGAUAUACAGUAAGCGGCUAAGCGAAAGCGUUAAGUAUUCCACCUGGGGAGUACGCCGGCAACGGUGAAACUCAAAGGAAUUGACGGGGGCCCGCACAAGCGGAGGAACAUGUGGUUUAAUUCGAUGAUACGCGAGGAACC